rnacentral:rRNA from 1 species
UACGAAGGGGGCUAGCGUUGCUCGGAAUCACUGGGCGUAAAGCGCACGUAGGCGGAUUGCUAAGUCAGGGGUGAAAUCCUGGAGCUCAACUCCAGAACUGCCUUUGAUACUGGCGAUCUUGAGUCCGGGAGAGGUGAGUGGAACUGCGAGUGUAGAGGUGAAAUUCGUAGAUAUUCGGAAGAACACCAGUGGCGAAGGCGACUUACUGGACGAUUGUUGACGCUGAGGUGCGAAAGCGUGGGGAGCAAACAGG